GUUCGUUUCCUCAUUCAACUGAGCCAUUUGAAUGAAGCUGAGUGCGUUGUUCGUUUGGACACAAAAAGUACGAUUCAUUCAAAUGGCUCAGUUGAAUGACUUUCGAAAAUUUAGUUUUAAUUCUGCAAACCAGUUGACUGAACCGAAUCGGAUCAUUUGGCUGGAACUGGUUCAGUCAAAAUACGAAAAUGUCGAUAUUGCCCUUGAUAAAACUCAAAUAUUACAAACCUAAUUUUAUUAUUUUUUCAGUCUCAUCGUUCUCUCUCUCUGCCGACAAACCUCUCAAAUCUCAUCUUCUCACUCGCCACCAUGAAAGGAGCUUGAAGCUCUCACCUCACCGUCGCUCUCUCGCCAUCUCUCUCGUCGUCUCUCUCACCAUCUCUCUCGCCGUCUCUCUCUCGCCAUCUCUCUCGUCGUCUCUCUCACCAUCUCUCUCGCCGUCUCUCUCGCCACCAUGAAAGGAGCUUGAAGCUCGCCGUCUCUCUCUCUCGUCAUCUCUCUGCCAUCUUUCUCUCUCUCGCCAUCUCUCUCUCGCCGUGUCUCUCUCUCUCUCGCCAUCUCUCUCUCGCCGUCUCUCUCGCCAUCUCUCUCUCGCCGUCUCUCUCGCCAUCUCUCUCUCGCCGUCUCUCUCGCCGUGUCUCUCUCGCCGUCAUCUCUCUCACCGGUUUGAUCUUCUGUGGGUUUUGAUUGGAUCAUCUCUUGGAAUUGGAUGAGGAAUGACGUGAACAUUUUGCUCUCAUUUUUUUUUUAUCAAACUCAAGUUUGUUAUUUUUAAAACCUUGUUACCAAUGCUUUUGAAACUUUAUUGUUGUUGCUUUUGAAACUUUAUAUCACAUUAUGUUAUGUGGGUUUUCAUUUUCUAGAUUUAAAUAUCUUGAAACUUUAUAUCACAUUAUGUUAAUAUGUGGAUUCUCAUCUUAUUAAAUAUUUUGAAACUUUAUUACA